rnacentral:rRNA from 1 species
CAGCCGCCGCGGUAACACGUAGGGUGCAAGCGUUAAUCGGAAUUACUGGGCGUAAAGCGUGCGCAGGCGGUUUUGUAAGACAGAGGUGAAAUCCCCGGGCUCAACCUGGGAACUGCCUUUGUGACUGCAAGGCUAGAGUACGGCAGAGGGGGAUGGAAUUCCGCGUGUAGCAGUGAAAUGCGUAGAUAUGCGGAGGAACACCGAUGGCGAAGGCAAUCCCCUGGGCCUGUACUGACGCUCAUGCACGAAAGCGUGGGGAGCAAACAGGAUUAGAGACCCCCGUAGUCCCUGUCUCUUAUAC